rnacentral:rRNA from 1 species
UACGUAGGGUGCGAGCGUUGUCCGGAAUUAUUGGGCGUAAAGGGCUCGUAGGCGGUCUGUCACGUCGGGAGUGAAAACUCAGGGCUUAACCCUGAGCCUGCUUCCGAUACGGGCAGACUAGAGGUAUGCAGGGGAGAACGGAAUUCCUGGUGUAGCGGUGAAAUGCGCAGAUAUCGGGAGGAACACCAGUGGCGAAGGCGGUUGCCUGGAGCUUUGCUGACGCUGAGGCGCGAAAGCGUGGGGAGCGAGUCCGG